UCCCACAAUUGCCACAUGUCCUGGGAAGGACCUGGUGGGAGGUCUUGGGGGUGGGUCUUUCCUGUGCUAUUUUCCUGAUAGUGAAUAAGCCUCAUGAGAUCUGAUGGUUUUAUAAGGGGAAGUUUCCCCGCACAAAUUCCCUCUUGUCUGUCACCAUGUAAGACGUGCCUUUUGCCUUCCACCAUGAUUGUGAGGCCUCCCCAGCAAUGUGGAACUGUGAGUCCAUUAAAUCUCUUUUGUUUUUAAAUUUUUCGAUGGAGUUUUUGCUCUUGUUGCCCAGGCUGGAGUGCAAUGGUGCAGUCUCAGCUCACCGCAACCUCUGCCUCCCGGGUUCAAGCAAUUCUCUUGCCUCAGCCUCCUGAGUAGCUAGGAUUAUAAGCAUGCACCACCAUGCCUGGCUAAUUUUCUAUUUUUAGUAGAGACAGGGUUUCUCCGUGUUGGUCAGGCUGGUCUCGAACUCCAGACCUCAGCUGAUCCACCGACCUCAGCCUCCCAACAUGCUGGGAUUACAGGCAUGAGCCACCAUGCCCAGCCUCCAUUAAACCUCGUUUUCUUGAUAAAUUACCCAGUCUCAGAUAUGUCUUUAUUAGCAGCAUGAGAACAGACUAAUACACCUUACAAUCACUUAUGACUACCUAUCACCUUUUGUGUUCACCUUGUCUAAAAUGGCACCCAACCUCCCCAUGCCAUUCAUUCUCAGAGGACUUACUGCCUCUGGAAGUUAUAUUAUUUAUGCAUUCACUUACUUGUUUGUCUCGCCCACUGGAAUGUAAGCUUAUGAAGUGGGAGCUUUGUUUAAUUCACUAGUAUAUUCUCAGUGCCAAGAACAGUGGUAGCACCAGAAAGGUUGUUGACUGAAUGAACAGAUUCCUGUCUCAGAAGGUGGUUGGCAGCACUUACUGAGGCACAGGGUGUGAAAGUGCUUUGUAAAUAGUUUAGAUCACUGAAAGAAAAAAAAAAAGACAAGUCGUUCAAACAGAAGUAGAGAAUCCUUUGAGGCAAAGCCAGACAUAAUUGGCCAAGACUUUGUUGUGUAGCUUGCAAGAGACUCUCAAACCAAUUGCAUGAGAAAAGACCUUUCAAUGAUAUUGAAGAGGAAAGACUUCUAGAGACUCAGCAAGAAACUCAUCAUGAGGUUGCAUUGAUCUGGACAGUGGUUGCAGUCUACAGGACCCCAACUCACGCUAGCUCAGGCAAAAAAGAAAAAAAAGAAUUAUUGGCUCAUAUGCCUGGAAAGGCAAGGGAUAGAGCUGAUUUGGGGGAACACAGAUGCUGAGUUCUAGGGAUGACACUCUGCUAAUCAUGUCCUAUGUCUUUCUUCCUCCCUAUCUGUUGCUUCUCAUUCUCUGUGCUUAUUGGCAUCAUUCUCAUGUGCUUCAAACAUGUCUUUCCAUUGGAAAACUGAGAAAAGGGUCAUGAGUAGCUCUGGAAUUGUCCAUAUGAUCAGAAACAGCAUCCCCCAUGGGCUCCACUUAGAAACAUUUAGGGAAGCUUCUAGUGACCCAUCCCUGGGCUAAUUUCUGUGGCCAAGGAGGAUGUGUACUGUGCUUGGUGAUCUCCAGUAGAACUAUCAUGAUGGCUUGUGGAGGAGAGCAUUUCCCCAAAGAAAGACCAAGUGGUACUGGCCAGACAAGCUUCACAGGUGGGAAGUGAUGGAGACAGCGCUUCAGCUCUUGUCAGCCUGACUCUAAUGCCGAUACUCUCAUUCACUAAGCAACACAACCUGCCGAUCACAGUAUAAGGUGAUAGGAAGAGAUUGAGAGAGGGAUGGAAAUCAUUACUGAGAAGGCUUGAACAACCACAAUUUACUGCGAAGAGAUAAAAACCAAACACCUCAAACGUAUUAUCACCAUAAUUGUCUGCAGUUUACCCAUCUUGUAAAAUAAACAGAUCAUGAAAUGUGAGAGCACGCAAAAGCUGGACUGCAUUGUGUGGCCCCAGGGAGCUGCAGACAGAGGAUCUGAGUCCUGGCCACUAUGCCUGCUGUCUCUUACAAGUUUAGAGAUGCUGGCAUUGCAUCAAAAUUGGACAACACUCCCUUCCCUCCCUUCCGAGGUACUCCAUUCCCAACCUUUUCCACCAACAAGUCCUUAUUCUCAGCAGCCAAAAAUAAUUUAUUGGUUUCCACUGUUCUCCUUGGCUGAAUCUUCAAGUACACCAACUCUCCCCUCUUCUGGACAGACUCUCCAUAAUUCAGCCGGCAUCUAAUCAGCACCUUGCUGCUCUUCCAUUCUUCCUUUCUCCAGAGUCAUGAUUCUUCCCUCUCAAGUCAAAGAGGAAUUACAAGCAAAUAGACACUAUCCUUGAAUGCAGUUUGGGUUACACAGAAUGGAGAAUGAACUCAAUCUCAUUUUUGCUUCUUUGUUGAAAUAAGCUCAAUAUCUCCCUUGCACAGAGAGUGAAUCGGCUUCACUAAGGCAAGCAGCAUUGCCUCUUUUCUCCCGGUCAGCAUGGCAGCUCUCUGCAUUCGCCUCUUACAGAGGUGACUAUUCGUUGUUCUUUCCAGAAAUGUUUUCUGAGCUUCAGGAGGCCCUGAGUUACCUGGAUAAUUAGUGCUGUCCUUUUGCACAAUGCAAAAACAAAACCAUUAUGAGAUAAGUUCUUUAGCUAAGUUGGGAAUGGGGUUUAAAUGCAUGGGCAAAUAGAUCUGGCAGUCAAAUUCAGACUGUCAUAUUUUGUGAUCCACCCUCCCUCUGAUCAUAGCAUAUAAGACUCUGAUGAACCUCACCAGCAACAGGGAAUUCUCCCUCUACUGCAGAUAAAACAAUGAUAAUAUGGAAGUGAAAAAUGAAUAAUUCAAAAAUGGAAUUCUCUGUGGGGCUCCGUGCAGUGUGUGUUUCUGUGUGUGCAUGUGUUUUAUACAAGUCUCUGCUACUUUUGUAGUUUGGAUUGGACUUCCGUCGGUCCGUUAAUUUUGUUACUGGAUCCCACCACUUACCCAAAAUUAGCCUUUGGGUUGGGUGUUUCUGCAGUAUGGUCCCUUCUGUGGACACCAGAAAGAUGUUACAGGAAAGGGGUCCUGAUCGAGACCCCAGAGACAGUUCUUGGACCUGGUUGGGAGGCCGAGGUGGGUGGAUCACUUGAGGUCAGGAGUUCAAGACCAGCCUGACCAACAUGGUAAAACCCCAUCUCUACUAAAAAUACAAAAAUUAGCCAGCUGGGCCAGGCAUGGUGGCUCACACCUGUAAUCACGCCUGUAAUUCCAGCACUUUGGGAGGCCGAGACAGGUGGAUCACCUGAGGUCAGGAGUUCAAGACCAGGCUGGCCAACAUGGCGAAACCCUGUCUAUACUAAAAAAAAAAAAAAAAUUAGCUAGUCAUGGUGGCCUGCACCUGUAAUCCCAGCUACUCAAGAGGCUGAGGCAGCAGAAUCCCUUGAACCCAGGUGGCAGAGGUUGCAGUAAGUCAAGAUUGUGCCACUGCACUCUAGCCUGGGCGACAGAGCUAGACUCCAUAAAAAAAAAAAAGAAGAAGAAGAAAGAAUUAAUUAAUUAAUUCUGGAUGAGCCCGUAAAGUGAAAGCAAAUUUACUAAGAAAGUAAAAGAAUAAAGAACGGCUGCUCCAUAGACAGAGCAGCCCCAAGG